GAUUAAGUUCCUGCAAUUACAAAACCGCGUAUCAACAAAAUGCAAAACCGCGUAUCAACAUAAUGCAAAGCCGCGUGUGUGAGAUUGCAUAAAUCAUUUUCUGUAGAGUAAAAGCACUCAUGUUUCAAAAUAGAUCUAUUUUUUAUAAAGCAAUCGCAUUUCUGGCUAGUAUAUUUCAGGACGAAUGGAUAAGGAUUGAGCCAAGAGC